ensembl:lncRNA
AGUUUGGGAAGUUUUCUGGUUGCUUCUAGGUCUGUCUCUGUCCCUCUUCUGAGAUGUUCCUGGUUUCUCAGCACCUAUGUAAAACUUGAUAGCCAUGUCCUUGAAUUCUUCCAUUAGUAAACAUCUCAGGAAAAAGCUUAUGUAUCAAGCAAGAUGCAGAAGGGGCCACGUGAUGACUUCAGAGUUGGCUGUGCUUUGCUCUGAAACCAGGCGAGCAAGAAGAAGCUUCCAGAAGGUUUGUAAGAGCAUCAGAGUAGUACUACAUGGAGUUUGUGUUAUUAAAAAUGGAAGAAAGCUGUGAGGCAGUGUUCUUGUGUGAUGCUGUGAUUCCUUCGAGAUGAAAAGGAGGUAGGAGAUCAAGUGAGACGUGAGCAGCCCUUCCUGUCCUGUGCUGCUCUUAGACUCUUCCUCCCAUGUCUUCAGUAGCGUGCAUCAGAGAAGCACAGCAGAGCACUGUAGAGCUCCUGGAUGUCACCUUGCAGAGCAGCGGUCCUUGAGUUGGUAGAAAAAGCCUCCCUGCAGGCAAGUGGUGUUGGGAAGAGGAGGAGAUGAACUUUCAGAGCUCACCUUACUUCUCAUAUGGUUGCAAAUGAAAAUCACUGCAGGGAUAUUGACCAAAAUGUUCCUUCACAGUCUGGGCAGAGCUGUGCUGAUCCUGAUGUGGUGCUGCGUGUGGAGUAAGAGCAAUGUUUAGGGACUGGGUGAGCCCAAGGGCUGUGAUCCCACUGUCCCUUUGCUGCACGGCGAUGCUCUGAGUGCCGUGAAGAUCCCAUGGGCAGUGCAGGCCCUGGGCCAGCAUCACCCCGGGGUGCUCCCACCCCAAUGGGGUCACUGGUGCAGCAGGGAAAGCUGCUGCUCGUGUCUCUUUCUCAUUAAAAGAGAGAGGGAGGGAAGCAUCAAACUGACCCCCCUGCCCCCACGAUUCCUACCCUUGUCCUGCAGCAUUACAAACAUCCUGGAGCUGAGGCUGCCUGUGCUGUCAGUGCAGGAGGAGGAUUUCUGCCAAGACACUGACCCCUGGUGGAUUCUGCAAAUGUCUUUUCAUCUAUUUUCCUCUUUGAAAGGCAAAAUCUCCCCUUUCAGACCUUUGCUUGGUCCCUUACAGUCCGGGGCCAUCGGAAGAUUUAUUAUUAAACGGGGGCUCUGGGGUGAUUUAUGAAAUUGCAGCUGAGCCACACUGUGCACUGGUUACAAAUUGCAAAGAUAUUCCAUGGGACGUGAGCUCCAAUGAGCCUGGGAUAUAUUACACUGUGGGGAAAAGGGGAGCUUAAAACCAGCUGGCUGAUGGCAACAGCUACAGGCACUUCUCUUUGAUGGGAAGAUGAUAUACAUCUGGGUUUAAUACAAAACACGAUGGGCUGACACCAGCUUUUGGGAUAUCUUAUACAAACUGGAUAAUUUUCACUUGUUGUUUUUCCAGAGCUGUUGCACCACUUUGUCCAAAGCUAGAUUCCUUUUUUCCUGUCUUUGCACGUGUUCGCUUUGUCUUGUUCAGCUUCCCAAAGAGCCGGGGAUGGUUUCCCACUGGUUU